GCAUCGUGAGCAUUACUUGAGACUCUAGUUUAGGCAAGGAUUUCUACGAGAGAUGGUGUGAUGGCCAUGUUGGGGUUCUCCUUUAGAGAAUUGUGUUAGGCGUCGAGUACGGAGUGUGUUCAGGGAAGAGCAUUACAUGCCCUACCUCACGUGGGUUGUACCAUUGGCAUUAACAUUGACAUAAACAAGACCUAAGCUGAUCCCCC
rnacentral:lncRNA from 1 species